rnacentral:rRNA from 1 species
AGCAGCCGCGGUAAUUCCAGCUCCAAUAGCGUAUAUUAAAGUUGUUGCAGUUAAAAAGCUCGUAGUUGAAUUUCGGGAUCAAAUUGUCGGUCGUGCCUCGGUACGCACUGGUAUUAUUGGUUCCUACCUUCUGAAGAACCGCGAUGUCAUUAAUUUGGUGUCGUGGGGAGUCAGGACUGUUACUUUGAAAAAUUAGAGUGUUUAAAGCAGGCUUACGCUUGAAUACAUUAGCAUGGAAUAAUGAAAUAGGACGUUUGAUUCUAUUUUGUUGGUUUCUAGGAUUGACGUAAUGAUUAAUAGGGAUAGUUGGGGGCAUUAGUAUUCAAUUGUCAGAGGUGAAAUUCUUGGAUUUAUUGAAGACUAACUACUGCGAAAGCAUUUGCCAAGGAUGCUUUCAUUAAUCAAGAACGAAAGUUAGGGGAUCGAAGACGAUCAGAUACCGUCGUAGUCUUAACCAAUAAACUAUGCCGACUAG